UCCGAAUUGGUGUAGUGGCUAACAUUUGACGCUCUCACAAACAUCGUCGUCACUAAGAUGUGAGGUAGAAAAGUGCCGUCAAGCCCGGGGUUCGAUUCCCCGAUUCGGAG